ensembl:snRNA U6 U6 spliceosomal RNA
GUACUCUGGCAGUACACAUACAAAAUUGGAACAAUACAGAGAUGAGCCUGGCGCUUGCACAAGGCCAUGAAAAGUCUUGAAGCAGCUCAUAUUUUG